UUUCCGUAGGUGAACCUGCGGAAGGAUCAUUAUUGUAUAACCGAGGUGCGAGGGCUGUCGCUGACCCGAAAGGUCGUGCACGCCCGAGUGCCCUCACACACAUCCAUCUCACCCCUAUGUGCACCACCGCGUGGGUCCCCCUUUGGCUUGUUCGGAGGGGGGCUUACGUUUUCACACAAACUUUGUAUGCAGUAUAGAAUGUAUUUUUUGUUUUUGCGAUCACGCAAUCAAUACGACUUUCAACAACGGAUCUCUUGGCUCUC
rnacentral:misc_RNA from 1 species